UGCCAGCCGCCGCGGUAAUACGGAGGGGGUUAGCGUUGUUCGGAAUUACUGGGCGUAAAGCGUACGUAGGCGGAUUAAUAAGUUAGAGGUGAGAUCCCAGGGCUCAACCCUGGAACUGCCUUUAAAACCGGUAGUCUUGAGUUCGAGAGAAGUGAGUGGAAUUCCUAGUGUAGAGGUGAAAUUCGUAGAUAUUAGGAAGAACAUCAGUGGCGAAGGCGACUCACUGGUCCGAUACUGACGCUGAGGUGCGAAAGCGUGGGGAGCAAACAGGAUUAGAUA
rnacentral:rRNA from 1 species